GGUGUUUUUAUUGCAUUUUUAUAGUGCCUCACAAUUUACAGACUACUUUUAUUUAUAUUGCCACUGGAUAUAUACCCGUGAUACAUUUUCUGUUUUGAAGUGCUAAAUUGUUUGUUACAAGCAUAAAAUGAAUUGAUAGACUAUUUUAAUUGAAAAUUGAUAAUUACCACUACACAAAACUGUCAUAACUUUUUCUUUUUAAGUAUCUAGUCCUCAGACUAUUGUGGAGUUAUUCUUCCAAGAAGUUGCAAGAAAACACAUUAUAUCUCACCUCUUCUGUCAGCCAAAGGCACCUCUGAGUCAAACUGGAUUGAACUGGCCUGAAAUGAUUACUGCAAUUACCAGUUAUUUAUUGCAGCUUUUAUGGCCUAGCAAUCCUGGUUGUCUCUUUCUAGAAUGUUUGAUGGGAAAUUGCCAAUACGUACAAUUGCAGGAUUAUAUUCAACUGCUACAUCCCUGGUGUCAAGUCAAUGUUGGUUCCUGUCGAUUUAUGCUGGGAAGGUGUUACCUAGUUACAGGAGAAGGACAGAAGG
rnacentral:sRNA from 1 species